GAUGACGGCACAGAACACACCAGACAGACUCGAGUCCCAGACCUCACCAGACUGUCUGACGGCCGAUAAUUGGGUUGGUGUGUCGGCGCCUUUAGCUGUAGGACUGAGGGG